UCCAUUAAAUGGUAAUUUUUUGUAGGACGCAUUGAAAUUAGAGCAUCGAAACAGUAAAGGAUGCAAUUAUGGCCCUCCAUAUGAGUGGCAGGUUUAUAACACUCUCAAUGGUUGCUAUGGCAUACCAUCGGUCCACUACAAGGGUCGUCAGGGCGACUACUAUAUACUUGUAAUGGAUAUGCUUGGUCCCAGCCUUUGGGACGUGUGGAAUUCAAUGGGGCAGGCGUAAGUAUCUUCCAUUCUUUUUUAUGAUAUCUUUUGUCACUCAUCAGCUUUUAGACUAAAUGGUCCAACUAUCGUAAACAGGAUGACUUCAAGGUGUGUACAUUCCUUUUGCUCUUCUACCAUUCUUACUAUAUAUUGUUUAUCUUGGCUAUUGUAUAAUGAAUAGUUGGAUUGUUGACAACUGUUUUUUUCUAAUAUGUUCUGAUUAUUGUUGAGUGGCCUGGAGACAAUUUGUGAUCCUGAAGUUAAGACAACACAGAUGGGAGCUGGCCAUUGUUGAAUACAUUUACUUUUAUCUGUAGUGUUUCACAUUAUUAUAACAUAGUCUGAUCAGCAUCCUUGACAUAAGCCACAAGUAUUA